rnacentral:rRNA from 1 species
CCUACGGGGGGCAGCAGUGAGGAAUAUUGCGCAAUGGGGGAAACCCUGACGCAGCGACGCCGCGUGAGUGAGGAAGGCCUUCGGGUCGUAAAGCUCUGUCAAGAGGGAAGAAGUGCAUGGCAGUUAAUACCUGUCAUGUUUGACGGUACCUCUAAAGGAAGCACCGGCUAACUCCGUGCCAGCAGCCGCGGUAAUACGGAGGGUGCAAGCGUUGUUCGGAAUUACUGGGCGUAAAGGGCGCGCAGGCGGCCUGCCAAGUCAGAUGUGAAAUGCCAUGGCUUAACCAUGGACGUGCAUUUGAAACUGGUGGGCUUGAGUACCAGAGGGGAAGGUGGAAUUCCCGGUGUAGAGGUGAAAUUCGUAGAUAUCGGGAGGAAUACCGGUGGCGAAGGCGACUUUCUGGCUGGAUACUGACGCUGAGGCGCGAAAGCGUGGGGAGCAAACAGGAUUAGAUACCCUAGUAGUC